rnacentral:rRNA from 1 species
GACGAACGCUGGCGGCGUGCUUAACACAUGCAAGUCGAACGGUAAGGCCCUUCGGGGUACACGAGUGGCGAACGGGUGAGUAACACGUGGGUGAUCUGCCCUGCACUUCGGGAUAAGCCUGGGAAACUGGGUCUAAUACCGGAUAGGACUCCUGCCUGCAUGGGUGGGGGUGGACAGCUUUUGCGGUGUGGGAUGGGCCCGCGGCCUAUCAGCUUGUUGGUGGGGUGAUGGCCUACCAAGGGGACGACGGGUAGCCGGCCUGAGAGGGUGACCGGCCACACUGGGACUGAGAUACGGCCCAGACUCCUACGGGAGGCAGCAGUGGGGAAUAUUGCACAAUGGGCGCAAGCCUGAUGCAGCGACGCCGCGUGAGGGAUGACGGCCUUCGGGUUGUAAACCUCUUUCAGCACAGACGAAGCGCAAGUGACGGUAUGUGCAGAAGAAGGACCGGCCAACUACGUGCCAGCAGCCGCGGUAA